UCUCUUUGAACUGAGUUAAAAACACUUUAUAGUAGGCAUUUUGAAACUAGUUUACACUUGAAAUACAUACAUAUAUGAAUUAUAAAUUUCUUUCAAAAUUUUUAAAUAUCAACUUAACGAUAUGACCAAAGUAUGUAAGCUCUCUGCAAGCAAAUACAAGUUACGCAAGCAUUUUCGUCAUGAGAAUCAUAGAUCAAAACAGCCCAAAGAGUCAAUUAGAGCGAAAACUAAGCAAUUGCCAGAUAAUGAAGUAAAGUUUCGCUUUAAUAAAAUAAAAAAUGGUUAUAAUUCCUCACUUAAGGAUGUAAUAGUUCACCGUUUCAUAGAAGUUGUCAUUGUGAUGGUUUUAGUCUUUGGAUGUAUGAUCUACAGGGCAAUUGGUCGCAUGAAAUUCGAUAAGAAUUCCAUAUAUCCGUUCAUUGAUCUUGAGGAAAAUAGCAUGGCCAGAGAGUAGAGCGAAGCGUGCAAAGUCCCCAGCGAGGACCACACCCGAUGUGAUCCAAUGUCUUGAAAAUUUGCAACUAUUCUCGUAUCGAUCUUUGCACAUGAUACAGGGAUCGAAGCUCUCUCUUUCGUUUAGACGUUUAUAUGAUGAAAUUCGAUACGCUGAGAAGAUGUGUGAUCAGAUUUUAACUAAUUCUACGUGUGUAUGCUUACCUGGGCCAGCUGUUCAGGCUCAGGCUCAUGCUGUUUAAUGCAGGACCUCCAUUUCUUCACUCUCGACCAAUGAUCAGUUAAUCAAAGACAAGCGCCCCGUUCACAUCAGCAAUCGUCGGCCCUACCUAAUAAUCAGAAUAAAAACAUUAUUUUUAAUUAA